rnacentral:misc_RNA from 1 species
CCAGUCGGUAGACAGAAAAGGAGACGACGUAGAACGACGUGCGUUAUAUGCAUGAUGCUCAGAAAGUGUACAGGAAGUACUUAAGGCCUAUGCGUCCUGCGCAUAAUAUGCAUAUGCCGCACGUCGUUCUACCUGGCUUCAUUUUCCGUCUUCCAGUCCAGUCCUCGAUUCUUUGGUGCGAAAUGAAGUCAGUAAUUUACGUGGUCACGUACUGGUCUUUUUACACCUAAAGCGACAACUCCAUCAUCUUGUGCUAAGACAGACGGAGACGGACGCCAGGCUGGAACACCUGGAGCGCCUACUAGCCGCAUCUGAAAGUAAGCUGCGCAGCUGUGAGGAUUUGAUGGAGCUGAUUGGUCUACUGAGAGACCGGAUUAAACUGAUCCAGGAGGCCGGUAAUGGAGGGAUGUUGCCCGGCGGUGUAUCCUCCUCGUCCGGUGAUCUGGCUGCUGAUGAAAGCGGGCCGGGGUUAUCUUUAUGGUCACCCACCUCGCCUAUGAGAUCCACAAAAUCACCGAUCGGAUCACCCAAGUCACCGAGAUCGCACUAGACCUAAAUGCAGACGACAGAGGAUAACGUUGACAGCAAGUGGACGCAGACUGCUGGAUUAAUAAGUGGGACGGAGCAGGCUCAAUAAAAGCGCCAUCCAGCAAGGCCAUGAAGUUUAAUUCUCACAGGCUCUAUGAGAGCACUGAGUGAAAUUCUCUUUCAGUUAAAAUCCUUUCUAAAGUACUUUUUAUCUAAUAUAAUUUCAUAAUACUACGAAUAUUACUAAAUAAUUUGUUGAGUAAAUGCUGUUGAACCAUCAAUGUGGUAACUUUGCCGUGUUUAACCAGGAGGUAGUUAUAAAUGUUUAAUGACGUAAUACCUCUGCUAGAUUCAGUACACUUGUGUGGUCCAUGUUGAGUUCUGCGGGGACA